GCUUAACUAUACAUGUAUGAUGAUGCACAGCUGCUGUCAUAUCACUGCCAGUCUGUUUUUAUUCAUUACUUUUAUGUUAUGUUUUUGUUUUUGUUUUAAUUCUGUUUGUGUUUUAACUAUGAUUAUCAUUGUUGUUAUUGAAUAUGGUUGGGUCCAAAAUGAUGUAAUUGAAACAUCUUCAGCACGGUUCUGCAAAUAACGAUAUCAUUCAAGUUAUAUAUUUAUUACAUAUUCUGGUUUAACACGAAACUAGUCAAAAC
rnacentral:lncRNA from 1 species